GACGCUGGCGGCGUGCCUAACACAUGCAAGUCAACUUGACUGAAGGAGCAAUCUGACAGUAGAGUGGCGCAAGGGUGCGUAACGCGUAAGUAACUUGCCCAAGGUAAGGAAUAACGUCGAGAAAUCGGCGCUAAUACCUCAUAAUGCAGCGGAUCCGCAUGGAUAUGUUGUUAAAGGUUUACCGCCUUGGGAUAGGCUUGCGUCUGAUUAGUUAGUUGGUGUGGUAACGGCACACCAAGGCUACGAUCAGUAACUGGUCUGAGAGGAUGAUCAGUCACACUGGAACUGAGACACGGUCCAGACUCCUACGGGAGGCAGCAGUGAGGAAUAUUGGGCAAUGCUCGAAAGAGUGACCCAGCAACGCCGCGUGGAGGAUGAAGGUAUUCUAUAUCGUAAACUCCUGUGAGAGCAGACGAAAGACAGAUUAUUAAUCUGGAUGACUGUAUGCUCAGAGGAAGCCCCGGCUAACUACGUG
rnacentral:rRNA from 1 species